AGAAGCAUAGCUUUGCACGCAUGCACGCGAGUUUGAAACGCUCAAUGCUGAGAUCGAUGCGAAUGCAACGAUCUAAUACAAAAACUGGGAUUGCAUGGACCUGUUUCCAUACUAUGCCGACUGACCAAUUACUGUGAUUUGUCCCCGACGCCUCUGUGUUCGGACGCUAUGACGUCACCGACUGUAUCAGACUGUAUGCAGCUCUUGCAGUGGAGCGCGUGCUCCGAGCACAUGGAAAAGCGCUCGAGACGAAGUGCCCAUAGAAUAACUCCACACCUGAAAUGGAAUACCUGUAACAAAAGAAUCACAUCUGAAGCAAAAUAGAACUUCAGGACAGCUGCUAGUCAGCCUGUCUUUCUCUUGUUGGAUGCCGGAAACUGGAGCCACAUGAAUGCCAAACUUUUCAGGAAAAGACCUAUGUGUUUUGCCUCCCGUGAGCCAACAGCUCCAUGCCAUCAAAGUGAACCAUGCUGGUCUGCUGUGCAGUGAUGGGGAUCUGCUGUUGCCUGCAGAAAGCUGGCUUUUACGCAGUGGGCGUAAAGAUGUGGAAGAGGGUAGCUUAAGGAUUAAAGGAAGAAGCCGUGCUGGACUGCUGACAAAAGUUAACACUCAGCCAAAGUUUACAAGAUUACUGAACCCAAAAAAUUAUCUUCUGAGAACCUAGCCAGAUCUGAGGCCCUGUGGCGGUGUGUUUGAAGUCUGUUGGGGUCAGCAGUGUCAAGGUCAAUGUUCUUGUGUGUGGAAGUGUGACCUGCUGUAAUGUAUAACUAUAUGACAAGCAGAAAUAGGCAAUGAGUUUACAAUCAGUCCCUUCGUACGCUCUUGGAUUUAAAAUGAGAAAAGAGCUCACAGUUAUCAUUGAUCAUGGGAGACUUAUUAGAGUCUUAACUUUCAAGUAACAAUGCCCAGAUUCAGACCAGGAACAUGUGCUAUUUACUCAGGUAUUUCUCUAUAUCUUAAACAAGCAUGUUGAUAUACAGCAACCGGAUAUCAGAUACAGCUUUGAUCCUGUAUAUGAAAAGAAAAUGUCCCUGUUUAUUGACAACAUGAUUGAAUUCAGUGUGAUCAAGUAAAUGUCUUAUGAAAGGCCCUACUGAUAAUAUGUCUGUGUUUCAAAUAUACCCCCAUCCAUUUGUUUAAAAAAAAUAAAAAACUUUCAUAAUAUUAGUAUUCGGGAGGCAUUCUGUGCCAAAGAUUUACACUGCAACUCAAUUUACUUAUCAUGACAGUUUUGAUGUAAAUGGAGGAUGAGUGAAAAUAAUUAGGAGCAUUAAAUAAAAUAAAAUAUUUUUUAUUAAUUUGAUUAACCCCUUGACUCUCAACAGAUGUGUUGUGACAGCCAUCUUGAACAAGGAAUCAAAACUUUGUGUGCCCACAUUGUUUAUAAGAUAAAAGGUAGAAUCCACAUGCCUAUUCGAAAGAAUCUGGCUAAUCCCUUAUAGACUCCAUAAGGAAAAUACUGCAAAACUGGAGUACAGCAGAUCCUUGGUCCUGUUGAGCUGAUUAUUUGUUUAUGAAUUGAAGCUGUCCUUGGAUAAACAGAAGACAUGCAACUUUAUAAAGUGUUCAUGGUAGAACAAAUAUUACAUAUUGAGGUUCAUGCCCGCAGUUAGUUAACAGCAUAACACAUGCCUAAAGCAUUUCCAUAUACAGUAAGAGCUUUCUGCACAAACUCACCUGGACAGCAAUUAAUCUGCAAAUGUAUCCUUGAGCUGUGUAAACAUGGCAAGAUCUUUGAGUAAAGCAAAGUGUGCCAUUCUCAAAACCUGUUGAAAGACAAUAAGCACCCUUUAUAUAUGCCUAGACUACUCAUGAUAGUGUUUAUAACCUCUCAUUAGUCAACUGUUCAUAAUUUUUUAUACAGUACCCAUCAGAUCGAGCUAUAAUGCACAUGAUUUUUGUUACUCUGAUAUAAGCAAGACUUAUUGUCACUUGGUACCCAAUUUCUAAUAAUACAUUGUCUAUACUGUGUAAAAACAUUUUGACUUAAAGUAACAUAUUCCAUGUAUCUAAGGUCACCAGGAGUGGCUUGAGUUGGUUUUAAAUUGUAUCCUUAAUGUAGAAAAAAAAUGUAAGUGCAAACUUGUUGAUGAAUCAUGAUUUCUGUGUAAAAUUUGUUUACGCAGAUGUUUUAUGCACAAAUAAGUGUGUAUGCAUGGUGAGUGAAUGAGACUUGAGAAAUGCAAAUAAAAAUUUAAAAUGAAUAAGAGGAUUUUAAUAGUAAAAA